rnacentral:rRNA from 1 species
UUGAAGAGAGAGUAAACAGUGCGUGAAACCGCUCAGAGGUAAACGGGUGGAGUUGAACUGCGAACCCCGAGAAUUCAACUGGUGAGUGUGGUAUGAGCUUGGCAUAAUGGUUGGCUUUGCGGGUCUGCUUAGCUGCAGGUCUUCACCUCUUGGUGGAGAUGCGCGAUACACUUGUCAAGUGGUGCGCGCUCGUUGAGUUACUCGGACAUGCUUGCCAGUGCACUUUCUCGGGGUGUUCACCACGACCGGCGCCGCUACUUGUCUAAUAUGGUUAAACCGGUCUUGCUUGGUCCUUGUGGCUUUGCUUGAUCGGGAUGGCAGGUAACUCGUUAACUUGUGUGUUGGCUUCGGUUGACAUGCGCUUGGUUUUCGAGUGUAAUCAGCUGACUGUAUUGGUGCUAUGUAGUGCGUCGGAGACGGCGGCUUGUGGUGUGUGCCUGCGUGCCUAUUUGCUGACGGAACCGGGUUUGGUUAUUUUGUUGCCUGUUCUGCAGGCCUGGUGAUGGCCCGGUUUCGCUUGGUGGAUGGGGGCGUGUGUGACACUUAUCAGGGCCUAUAGUCUGUGGUGUUGUGGUAGACUAUCCACCUGACCCGUCUUGAAACACGG